rnacentral:rRNA from 1 species
UUAUUAAUUAAUAUUAAUUUUUUUAUUUAGAUAUUUUAUAAAAAUAUUUUAAUUAUUUAUUGUUUUAGUAUUGAUUAAAAAUUAAUUUUUAGUUUUAUAGUUAAGUAGUAUUGUAUAAGAAAUUAAUAAUAUUUAAUAAAGAAUUUAUUUAGUACCUUUUGUAUCAGGGUUAAUUAAAAUUUUUAAUUUAUUUUAAUUUCUCAAAAUUUAUAGAGUUAGUUUUAUUAUUAAGUUAUUGUAGUAAAAAUAUUUAUAAAAUAAUAUUAGUUUUGAAAUUUAAUUCGUUAUAUAAUAUUUAGUUAUUUAAGAUUUAAAUUUAAUUUAAAAUUUUAAAAGUUAAAUUAAUUUUUUUUAUUAAUAUUUUAAAUUUAAAUUAUUUUAGGGAUAAGCUUGAAAUUUUUAUAUAAUAUUUAUUUUAAUUUAAUAAUUUAUAGGAAUAGAAAUUUUUAUUAUAAGUUUGUAAAAAUUUAUUAUUUAAUUAUAUUUAAUUUAUUAUAAUUUGUUUAUUUUUUAUAUUAAAUUUUAUAAAUUAAUAUUUUAUUUAUAGUAAUAAUGAUUAAAUUAGUAUAUUUAAAAUUUAUAAAUUAUGAAUUCGGCAAAUUUUAUUUUUAUCUGUUUAACAAAAACAUUGUAUUAAGUUUUAAUUUAAUAUAGGAUCUGCUCAAUGAUUAAAUUAAAUAGCUGCAGUAUUUUGACUGUGCAAAGGUAGCAUAAUAAUUAGUCUUUUAAUUGAGGACUAGAAUGAAAGAUUUGAUAAAAAAUAGACUUUAUUAUUUAUAUAAUUAGAAUUUUAUUUUUAAGUAAAAAAGCUUAAAUAUUUUAAAGGGACGAUAAGACCCUAUAAAACUUUAUAAUUAAUAAUUUUUAAAUUUUUGGAUUAAUUAAUAUAUUUAUAUUAUAUAUAUAUAUAAAUAAAUAUUUAAAUUUUAUUAAUUAUUUUAUUGGGGUGAUAAAAAAAUUUACUAAACUUUUUUUAAAAUUUACCAUUAUUAAAUGAUUAUUUGAAUUAAAAUUUUUAAUUAUAGGAAAAAGUUACUUUAGGGAUAACAGCGUAAUUAGUUUUUUAAGUCCACCAUUUAAAAAUUAGU